rnacentral:misc_RNA from 1 species
UCGGGGAUUGGUUUUUGGGAACAAAGCCUGAGACGGAGCCCAAGUUGAGUAUUGGAAAAGGGCCUUAAUGUUAACCUCAAGAAAGUAAAGUGUUACCGGUUGAUGUACAUGCACUGUAGUAUGGGCACAUUAUGUCAGAUACAUUCAGCCAAUAAUCGCUGAGAAUUCAGUGGAUUUGCAUGUGUAGCACUUUUGCAAGAUUAUACCUACAGUCAGUGGAUUUGUGGAUCCACGCAAUACUGAGAACCCGUCUCAAUGGCUGAUGUCAUCUAGCGUUUCAGAACGUUGAUGUUCUGUGUACUGUCUUCAGUGCUAUCCAAUCAUGUAAUCUAAAUACCAUAUGGCAGAGUUUUCCACUCGUUAAUUACUCCACCUCCAUUGCCAAAGUGUCUAGUUUAUUUUUGUACUAUUCAAGAGAGGUUUAUAGCCAAUACGGCAUGUAGUUACGGUUGGAUUCAAACCGUUGUCCACUGGAUCACAGUCCAAGUGUUUUACCAACUGCUCAAACCAACUACACCUGUACAUGUAGAACCAUGGGUGAACCUGUCAAAUAAUGAUCUACCAAGACGAAUGCAGUAUUACAUUAUAAUUGUAUUAUUUGAAAUGUAUACUGUGCGAGUAUGUACAUGUGCGGUACUUGUUCAAGAAAUUACAUGUAGAUAUUUUAAAAAUUAAUUUCAGCAAUUUUACUUCAUCUCUGUUGGCAUCCCCAAAUACCUUACAGUUCCUAUUACAGUUGAUCAACAUUUGAAAGAGAUAAUCUUUUCAAUGAAAUAUGCCACUUUUCUGUUAAAAUUUGCCCAAUUUUGGUAUAAUAUUUACAUUGGAACACCCCCCCCCCUUGUUUGAAAAUUGCUGGAAAAUUUUUGUAUCCAUAAAAAGGCGGUGCUUCCCCAGGUUCAGUUCUGUGCAAGGUAUUGUUUCUCAUGCAUGGUGGUUAUGAACCUCAGAGAACCGAGAGUUCAUUCUUUUGGAUGAAUAAGAUGUAAUGGCCGCACAGGGCUAACUUGUGACUGCGCUCUGUGAGGUGCUGAACAAACUCUGAGGCAUGACACCGUGCAGGUGCACACCUCAUCCACAGCUUGUAGCACAGAGGGAGAAACCGUGCUGUGCUGAGUUUGUCCACACAGAGGAACACCUUGUACAAAACACCGUCAGGGAAUGCGCUGUAAAGGUGACUAUUCUUUUAGUAUGCGAUGUACAUGUACUUGGUUAUUACCGUCUGUCAGGACUAACUAGAGGACAUAUGUACUCUAUGGCACCCACUUGAAACCGCUUUCAAGAUCAUCAGAUAUCAGUAUGUGGAUUAGUAAUCACCAUGCACGUUUCACCAAUUUUCCCAGCAGCCACAUUUUUGCCUUCUCCGUAUGAUUUGUCGUGACGGAUUUACUUGGUUGCCUUCACUGCUUGUGGCAGUGCUGUGUUUUGAGAUUAUUUCCUCUAUGUGGGAUUUGCUAUCACGUCUUCAGACAUCUAGACAGCUUGAGAACAAAAUUUGGGUGCAUUGUUGUCAACCUGUUGCAACCAGUAUGUGGAACUGUGUCUAAUGUUGCCUUAUUGUCAAAGCUGUUGAGCUGCUUCACUGCAUUUCCAGAGUAAUACAAUAACAGAGAAAGUGUUUCUACAGAAUGUGCAGAUCCUCCCCAAGAAAAAAAGCCGGAUCCUUUUCUUCAUUCUGCUGUUGGACGUCGUUCCUUGGAGGAGUUUCCCUUCCCCCCCCCUCUAUUUCUCCGUUUCUCCACAACCACUUGGAUUGUACCGUACGGCGGUAACCAUCACCCACGCCUGAAAUUGCAUCUUUUUCAUCCUGAUUCCACUACCCAUCAUUGUGUGCCCUGACCAAGGAGAGCCGUCUCAAAUCACCGUUACCAUAGGAACUCGAUCGUAGAGCAAAGUGCGUCUUCCCAGACCCUCUGAAUUAUCAUCAGUUGGGAAAUCUGCUCAUGGGAUCUUCCGUGGCAUCUUGGAUUUAUAAUGCCUGAUCCAGGAUUCAUAUGAAGCAGUCAGCCAGUGAGGCGACGUGGUCCUCGUGGAUUUCUAGACUCAGACAUCCCUCCAGCAGCCCCCGUCUACUCGGAGAAACUUCAUUCUGCCUGUUUAUUAACUCAUGAGCAUCUCAUGAAUUAUUCAAAUCCAUUGGUAGUGGCGCUCCUGCAUGGUAAUGUUCUUCACCAAUUUGUGAUUAUUUGAGGGUACUUCAGAGCUGAGUGACACUUCAGACAAGAGCUGUCUACUCGUUAGACAAAUAUCGAGGAAAAUGUGGCUUGGGAUCAAAGACCAUCGUCUCUCACCACAGCCGACAUCUCUAAAUGGAGGAAAUUUGUUGGAAAGAAUGUCAGCCUUACCUCAGGAGACAUUAAAUGUUGUUCCUUGGAGUUGCAAAGGAGCAAAUCUCAGAGAAGGAAUACUGCAGUUGUACGCGUAUGCUCUAUCCACAUUCUUGAGGAGUCAGCACCCCGGAUCUGCAUCCGUAGAGGAUGACGAGAACAGACAGCUUUCCAGGAAGUACACAAGUGACUGAACUGAGCCAUGUCUCUUGACAUCAGGAACCUGAGGCACAUAGUACCCAACCACAUCAAGGUGUACUGCAGCAGGGGACGUACUACAUGCACAUUGUAGUAUCUUGAGGUCACUGCCCAUUGAGCAGUGGUCAUUCUUGAUUUAAUAGGUGGAUGACGACAACAGUUGCUGCGCCUCCUACAAUGAGAUGCCCAUCUCCAUGGCAACAGCCAGCAGCCUCUUUGAACACUGAUGUGCACUUCACUUCAAACAUCCCCCGAUUGCAUUGAUGGUGAAUUCAACUCAUCAGUACCUGGACAGUCUGCACCUGAAAAUCAUCAACCUCACAAGCUCAUUUACGGAUCUCCUUCCGGUCUGUUGAAGGAAAUGAAAGGCAAGAGGUGCUAUUACAAGAAGUGUCACUUAUGGAGAGGUAAAAAAUAUAAGCAAACUGCCCUGUCUCAUGCAUGAUGAAAGAAAAUACCCAGUUUUUUCCUGGGUUUUUUUUAAGGGUGCAUGUUUUUAUUUUCUUGCCUCCCAACUACACAUAGCAAACAAAAUAACUUUGAACUGUGAAAUAGUGUCUGUGAAAAAGGAAAAUCAAUUAUGCAUAUACUCGUAGGGUAUCCUUGCCCAAAUGUAGCAGUAAUCACAAAAACUUGCCAUUUCUUAUUUAGGAGGUUUGGCAGCAGGUAGAUAAUCUUUCAAAAGCAGUACUAAAAUGCCAGCCAGGAGUUUUGAACAUACAUGUACAUCUACACAAUUAAAUCUGCCUCAUUUAAUUAUCUUGGGACCUCUAAAACAGAAUGAACAGGUGGAUGUUGGAGGUGUGAGUUUUUUAAUUUAAACAAAUCCAUAUUUUUUUUUGGGGGGGGGGAAUAUUUUGACAAGAGGUUUGAGCUGGGCCUGUCCUUUGCUUGCAUGCACAUAAAGUAAAAGCACUGAAUUCAGAAACCAAGUCUGUAGGCCUAGGCCUCAUUUCUAUAUAUCCUGUUGAAUACGAUGUACAUGUACUGGUACAUAUACCAGUAUGGUUUUAUCAUUUCACAAUUUCUUAAUUACUUUUAAUACAAUCAUGCUCACAUGUACAUGCACAUGUCACGAGACAAAAUGGUCUUGCACUCAGGGUUCUCUCUUCUUGGACGGAACUGGUUCUCUUCCCCUGAUAGAAUCGACCGUGGCGAGCCGUAAUCCCUACGGAGGGCAUGACAUCAGUACUUUGCUCCCUCGACAGCACAUUACAACACAAGCGCAUGAUUUAUUCAUCGUGCUUGAUAUCAUACUUGCCCUAAAUGUGGCCCCCUCGCCAGUGCAGUGUAGCACAGCGCGGCGUCGUCAGUUCCACUCUCCUGAUGGAGACCCGGGUUAAGGACGACAGACAUCUCGCAUAAAAUCGCUGAGCAACUGCUCUUUAUGCAUGAGGUGACCAUGGUGAUGUCAUUCCCCACAGGCAAUCAUUCUAACAAGGCAUCCCUUGCUUUUAAUUUGUUUUCCAUUUUCCCUUUCUUUUUUUGGAGAAUGACUACACAGUUUGAUGCAUGCACAGAAAGGGGGCAUGGUAAUAUUGUAGUGUUAUGAAAUUUACAUGCAUUAGGAUUUGCAGUGAGGGUCUUAUUUAUUCGACCAAAAGAUACAGAAAAUUUUGACAGGGGCGUGGCUAAGGGGGAGGCAUACAUGCACAUGUAUAUGUCCAACAUCCAGUCAGCCCCUCCCCCUCUUUAACAUGAAGCCCCCCGCCCUGUGCUCAGAAUCCCGGCUACUCUGCUGUAAAAAAACUGUAAGUAAAACAAUGCCCAGAAGCAUAAACAUGGACUUCAAGGCUAAUGUGCAGGUUGUUUUACAACACAUCAUGGCUUUAAGCGACUUAGAAUAAAUACACCCCCCCCAAAAGGUCUCCAAUUCAUAAAGCGUAGCAAAGCCACGGAUGCCAGCAUGUUACUUAUCCCAAACCAAAUACACAUUUUCUUAGACGUUCUAAAUCAGCCAAAUUUUGUUUCUGUCAAAAGCAUGCAUUAAUUACAAUAACAUGAAUUACAUGAAGAGGCUUUGCAUGUGCAUGUGAGACUUUGAUCACAGCUUUGGCACUACCACCAUUUUGUUUUGUUCUCGUAAAUAAGCCAAAUGAAGGCUUCGGCGGUGGCCAAGUGUACAAGGCUCUCAUUUCAAAAUUUCAAAGAAAAAUACAUAGGUUUAUUUUGCGGCUAAAGCCUAGUGUCAACCCAAGUCUCAGCAAGAAUUCAGGAAGUUGAAUUCAGAAAGUCAAAGCCAGAUGCUGGAUUCCACUCCUUGCAAAGUUACACUUUCCAUGGAUGUGAAGCUCGGCAUUUUAUAGAACUAAGUGGCUAAAAUAUCAAUUAACGUAAUGUUUGGUUCAAUACAAGCUAGUGAGCAGCUUGUCAAAUUGUUAGGUAAAAUUACCCUCAGUAUAUGUUAAUAAAUGCUUGUUUGUUUCAGGAGGAACACGACAAGCUGCAUACUGUGCCUUUAAUGAUCGAACCUUGCUAGGCCCAGCACGAUUCUGUGAUUUACAGUGUCUGAUAGGGCUCAACUGUAUUUAUUUGCUAAACUUUUCAUGUAAAGAAGUCAUUUUAACAGAUUUGCCAACCAUGAAAGAAUUCACAUAUCCAAAACUGGGUUAUGCACCCAGUAUUGUUUAAAGCAGCAUUUUAAAUUGUCCCUCUAACUCUUGUUGAUGUUGUUUAAAUGUAUUCAGACACUAAGCAUAAGCAUAAACAUGGUUAUUUAUAUGUUUACUGAUUUUUAGAUGCUUACUGUAUAUACGUUGAUGGGUUGAAUAAAGUUUGUUUAUAUGUGAAAUGUUUUUUUUCAUCUACAGUGGAAUUUUAUGUAAACUUGUAUGUUUACAAUUGGUACAACUUACUUUGUAUAUAAAGAUUUAAAGCCAGUUCUAUGCAAUUAAUUCGUUACAUGAAAUAAAAUGUUACUGAUGUGUAUUUGGUAGCAUAUUUUAGUUGGAUAUUCUUUAAACUACGUUAGCAAUAUUCAUGCACAGGCAGCGGAGAGUUAUUUUGCAUUUUGCCACUUUCAGUGAAUUAAAAUAUUCAUUGCAGGUGUUUCUGUUAGGUUGAUCAGUGUUACGGGUGAUUGAGUUUUCCCAUUUACCUUUAGUACAUGAUCCCAGAAGAGGGUGUUGAAUAUUCAUGCCAUUAAUAAUAACAAGGUUACCAAAUAUCCAUUCAUUAAAUGUAUACCUUUACACACGAGCAGAUUGAUUAGUAUUCAUGGUUGAAAAUGAAUAGUAAUUAUUUAAUGAUGAAUAUUUCUGUAUCAUUUUUCUAAGGCUUACUUUUACAAUGUAAUUCAUUAAGAUACAGUUUGGGCCAGAAUGUACCCAAAUGUUUCUUUGAACUUCUUUUCGCUAGCCAUCAGUUUUGCUCCAACCCAAAAGCAUACCCAGUGGCAAAAAUAUUGAAUUGUCUAAGUGGUCUAUACAGUAAGGUAAAGCUCUUGAAAUGAAGUUAGGAGGUCAGUGACCCGAUAUGACAAACGUAGUCUUAAAAAAUGUGAUUCGACAUGAUUGCAAAAUUAACUGUUUUGUUUAUCUCACAGGUUUCAUUUCAGGUUUGGGUAAAAUUUUAUCAUUUCGUGAUUUACCAUCAUAAUACACUCUGACCUAAAAAUAAUAAUUGUUUGCAGUACUGACUGUCCUUUUUACACUGAGUCAUUGUUACAAUAUUUUUGACCAAAACAUAAAACUUUGACAUGCCAGUAUAACUGGUAUUUUUAUGUGAAUGCGAGUUUGCUCAUUACUUCCAACAUCCGUAAGAUGUGCAUUAUUUCACAUGAUGUAACACAAAUUUAUUCAAUAAUCUUUGUAAUCGAUAUAUGAUGUGACAUAGAUGAACUGUCGAAGCAAACAAAGUUGCUACAGCUGUGAUGCAGGUGUCUUGAGACAAAGCUUGCCAUUCGUAGAGUUAAAUCAACUGAAUUAAAACUACUUGGUGUCGAGUCCUGACAGUUCUAAGUCAAUCUCUGUGCCACUUAUCAUGUUCAUAUUUUAUGGAAAACAGUGUAUGAAUAAAGAAUAAUGGAGUGUGAUUUUUAAGAGUGAAAAAAAAAAUUAUCAAUGCAAAGCCUGGUGGAGUACCUGGGCCAGUUGAAAAUGUCACGUGUCUGUUUGCAAACUCCAGUGAUAGCUUGGUAGUAAAUCAUUGUGGCUUCUCCAUUAUACUAAAGGUUGGGAAGUGAACGUAAUAUUCCGUCUUGGUGUGUUUGCACAGACGUCUGCGUGCAUAUGUACGUAUACCAUGCUCACAGAAACAAAAGUGAAGCCAGAUAAUGCAUGUGAAAAACAGAUAUUUCAUUCAUCCGGUCUGUACAUUCAUGUAAUGCCAUGUAAUGACUCUUGAGGUUCCUGAUUACUUUCAACAAAACACCAACUCUGCUUGCAGAAAUAACUCUGGCAUCGUGCAUGUUGCUUUCCUCUCACAGGAAAUACACUCAAAAGAGAGGAUCCAAUCGGUGUUUUUGAGGUGUUUUAGUCACAUUUUCCCAUAUAAAUUCGUGCCUGGUGGUAUAAACAACAGGUGCAUGUGGUUUCUCCUCUAUACAAGAUGAAGUUGGAGCUUGGCUCACAACCUCAAACCUCUCACAGUUGAAGAGAAAGGAGCAAAUUAUUUAUCUAAAUGAUUGCACAUGCACGACUACAAAAAAUCUGGGAGAGGUUAUACUCAGCAGAAUCAUAGGAUUUGAAUUUGCCAGCACCACAGCGAUUUGGCACCUGAGAUUCUGUUUCAGGAAUGGAGAACCUCACACAGGUAUAUGUGUGUGAGGGGUUGUACCUCAUUGAUCAAAAACAAAUGGACACUGCCAUCAACACCUCAUAUACAAUGCUAUCGACACCUCAUAACACUAACUUACAAAGUAUACUGCUGCUUCAUUGAAUAUAUAACGUGUAGAUGGUUUCUGUGCGUCCUAUAGCAUUGUAUAUGUACAUUUGCACAUUGACAUCUUGGCUUUAUAUACAUGUAGAUUCCAAACUGUUACAGACUUAAAAAUGUAUGGGAAUGUUUAAGCUUCAGAAAAAAAAUUAACUGUAUUGAAGACUUGAAGUCGUGAUCAUGUUCCGAAAGCAUUCAAAAAGCUGUGAGAUUGUUAAAAAGAGCUUAAUGUACUCUCUACUUGAUAUAAACAGGCCUAUACAUGUACAUUGCCAGAAAUUCUACUUGACAAUCAUUGUGGACUCUAUUGCCAGAAAUAAGGUAGAAAUAGCUUCAAUUUUACUCUGUAAAAUACUGAAGAAAAUUUAAGAAAACUUAUACAAAUUGUACUGUAAGUGAAAGAUAUUAACACAGCAUAAUGUUGGAAAUUUUGGUAAACUAACGCUUAUACCUUUUUCUUUGUAUUUUUCACCAGAUAAGUUAUCACAUAUCUGCCCAAUGUACAAGACAAUUUUAGUUGUUUGUAUUCUCGAUAUUUUGUAUCCAAACAGUUAUACCAUUUAUGUUUUUAAUGAAGGUUUAAGGUUAUAUGCUUGUAUGGUAAUGGUGAUGUUAUUUGUGUCUUUGAAUUUCUGUUCCGUUGAGUUCUGAAUAAAUUUAUGUAUUCUCCACACCCUCUUUAAUCCCACAACUUUGGAAGCCUACAAACGGGUUGUUCCUUUUAAUUUUAUAUGUUUCAUACAAAAGAACUGUGAUUGUAGUUUAUUUUAAAUAUUUGGGUAUUAUACGUGUUGGUUGAAAAGGAAUGAAACAUUCUUCCCCCAGCUUCACUGUGACUAGCUCAUAUUUAUUCACACUCUUAUACAUACUUUUUAAGUAAACAGAAAGUAAGUUUAGAUUGGUAAAUUUAUCUUAUUUUAAUUACAUUUGCUGUAAGACAUCUCCGUAUCCAUUUUAAUGUAGGUGCAGUCAGUUUAAAGUUAUCUAUUCAGGGUUACGUUUACUUUUGGAAAUUUACAUGUACUAGAUACCAUGUUGUACCUCUGUUAAGUUGUUUUAAAUGUUUGACUAAAUACUGUUGACUAAAUCUUCAAUAUUUAUGACACAGAAACAUCAUCAUGAAUACAUUAUUCUAGUGUAAGCAUCUUUUCUUGACAUAUUUGACAAUUACAAUGACAUUGUACCAAUCUUUAAAAAGCUUUACGAGGACUUGAAAUUACAAUACCUAACCACGUGUUAUGUGUGAUCUUAUGUCUGUGUAUGGACUAAUUCAGUGACGGAAAUUGGGGGCAUUGUCUAGUGCUUCCUAGACCAACAGGUCAUUUAUACUAGUUGCCAAAAUGUGGGCUCAGUCAAAGACGGUUAAGCAUGUGUGACAUCACUGACAUGCGCACACAAUUGCCGUACCCUGACUACCUUUUCAGUAAUGUCUUGUAACUGAGGUUGCCAGAUUACGUUCUUUAGCUUCAAGGUAUUCUGUUACCAAAUGGUGUAAAGAAUGUGUGAAAAUUUGAACUAUUAACUCAAAUGUAUUAACUCAAAUGUAUCCAUUGAAAUUAAUCAGCUCCUGUUAACAAUUAUGGCUUAUAAACAUUUUCAUGUUGGGCAUACAUAUUUCA